CUCCAUUUUCCUGUCUAUCCACUGCACUGCUGAAAUAGUAGAAAAUAUCAAAAUCCCUUAAAGUAAUCUUAAAUCUAACAUUUUUUCCCACCUGAUAUUUGUUUAAACUUGUUUCAGAGCUGCACUGUUUAUGACAAUAUAGUAGAAAUAUGCUCAGUGUCAGUGUAUGUGAUAUUCUACAACUUUGCUUUAAUCACAGAUCAAGUUCAGCACCAGACAGCUUGAUGGGUUUGGGCUCACAGACAGGGAAGGAAUGACGAGGUUCUGGUCUUUUCCCCUGAAGCUUUGCCAGAGUCACAAAGGAGAUGACUCCAUCUCACCGUCUUGACCUGCUGACUGAUGCCCUUCUGCAUUAUGGACACAGGAAAUCAACUGACCUAGAGGUGCAGCUCCUGCAGAGAUUAGACAAAGCAGAGAAAAAUAUCAAUUCUCGCUCAAGAAGACAUCUCAUCUGUCAUCAGAGAGGCACUAGGUAAACCAUGCACAUAAGAAGCAGACACUGACUCUAGAUGGAAAAGGAACUACAUCAUCACACUGAUUCAAUUCAACAAACUCAAAUUGAUGAUGAAUCUGAGUCUGGAAAAGACAAGGGACUGAUGCCUUACAUAUGAAGACUUGGGCAGCUGAGGAAAAGCUCAUGCUUUACCAGAAAAUGAGAACUGUAACUGACCACCUCCAUCAGCAGCAUGCCUUUGUUUUCUCUGCCAUCAAUGACACAGAGCAGCAAAGGCUGCUCUCAUCCAACAUCUUAAACAGCAGGAAAGAAAGCUACAUCAUGCCACUGAUGUUUCACCAACAUGUACCAGACAUGGUACGUCAGACGCAUGGUUACAUCAUCCCAGACAACCCCUGCCUGUCUCAGGCCCUCCCAAUGUCAAGCAUACACACACUGAUAUUAUUAUCAUCAUCAUCAUCAUAACUGUAUGAUAGCAAUGUUAGCAAUCAUGACAGGGGCUGGUUUGCUGCUUCCUGAUUACUUUAAGCAAGUUUGUGUUUUCAGUGUAACUGGUCAGGUUCUAAUUAAUGCUGUGUUGCUGAUCAGUUGAUUAGUCUAACCUCAACAAGGUCCAUGUUUGUUUUUCUUGAGCUGUGAACUGUCCUGUCAAACUAAACCAAAAAACGUGGUUUAAACUUUCACUUUUUGGACAAUAAACACUGUUUUU